CCGCCUGCGCGCGUUCGCCUGAGGAGAGACGCGGGAAGCUCGUCAGCCGCGUGGCCUCCGCGGGUAACCGCUCGUCGGAGGGCGUGAUCCCAGGUCCCGGUGCGGAGGGUGGAGUCCACGCCAAGAAGUCCACGAAGCUGCUUCGUUCGGUGGCUGCAGCUCUGGGCCGCGAUGCUGCACUGAAGAAUGGCUGGACCAAGAAUGUUUUCCAUGGACAGAAGCGUUUUGGAAGUUUUAAGUCUCUCCAGUGUCAACUGACGCACAGCUGGAGCCCUGGAGUGGUACUUCUGGAUGGGCAAGCUUUAAGCUACUACUGGAACUGGGGCUGUGAGGGGGACCCACUCGUGGUCCUGGUCUUACCACAGAAUUACGUGAAGUUGUGACAGAAGGUGAAAGGAAAAAAUAUUCACUCUUUAGUUGCGAAAAAACCAGAGGUUUUGUGAACUCAACUGCACAAGGUACAGCUUAUAGUUAAAUGAUAGAGUUUUCCAAAUGGUUGGAUAUUUUACUUAUGCAUCUGUCAAAUAAUAUAUAACAUAGAUGAAAAGACAAAAUGAAUAGAAGACAAAUGGCAGCUUUAUUCUGAGACACUUGUUAAAGCACAUAGGACAGAUUGGAAAACUGAUCAGACUUUUGUUUGGUUUUUAAAUACAGUCUGUGUUUAAGGUCCUGUUUGCUUAGUAAUGCUUGGAAUUGGAAACCUACAAAAUGAAAUGUACAAUGUAUCGGUACUGUAGUAAAUUUCUAAAAAUAUUUGUUAUUUGAAUACCUGCAGGCACUGUUAAGACUGUUAGUUGCAAAAGGAUGAAAAAAAAGUAAAAGAAUGAAAACAAGGUGAUUUAUUGUUCACAAGUAUUUCAGGCUUAGCAACGGGGUUUUUUGAUUACUCGAAUUGUCUUUUGUAUAAGUGCAAGCACGUAUCGGGGAUUAUCCCAUGCAUAAAUGACAAUAGAAUCAGGACUCUGUGAAAUGGCUAAAUAGUGAAUGGCUGCCAUUGACAUGGUGGUUUCAUUACAGAGUUCACUGUAAUGAUCCCCAGGUUACACAGCUCAAAACCAAAAAACUAACCUAGCAAAGCAAUGAGGUUAGUGUUAAGAAGUCAUAAACCUACUCAAAAUAAAUGCUUUUCUGUUGUUGUGUAAAAGCAGUACCGCACCUUUAUAUUUUGUACUAGAAAAAUAUUGGAAGCUGCAACAGAUGUAAGAAACAUUCUUGACACUUAAAAAUAGUUUUUCUACUAAUAUCAAUGAAUGCAAAAGUAUUUAUAACUUUAUAUGAAUGGAAUGUAUAGCAAGUAGUCUUAAAGUACUUACAAUGCACUGCAAUUAUUUUAACAGAUAAAUUCACUUGGACUUUUUACAUAAGGUUGUGCAAAGGAAGUGCUUUGACUUGCACCAACAGACUUCUGUCUGAAAAUAUAUUUUAUAAUCUCAGUUUACAAAAAAAUUUAUUUUUGAAUAAUUUUGAAUAAUCACUUUCUCACUGUUUCUGUAGUUUACUUGUACACCAGUGGGAGAGGUACAAAGAGCUAAAACAGCUGGCAAAAUGACACCCUAAGAAACAGUAAAUAGGUACAGAAGCAAAAAUAAUCCAUUCUAAAAUAAUUAGACUGAAGUGGUUCUACUGAAAAUUUCUUUCAUGUAGACAUAUAAAUCCUUGUACAAAUGCAUAAAUGUCUACAGGGCACAGCAAGAAAGUUUCCAGCUGAUGAAAACUGAGGGAUAUCAAAUUUUUGUUUAAUCAGGGCGGCUAUGAAGCUGCUUUGUGAAGUAUGCUACCACUUUUUAAUUAAAAUUGGAUUUGCUAACCUUUGCUAACAUAAGAGUUGUAUUAAAAUAGGAACAAAGCAAGCAUUUGAAUACAUCUUAAAGUUUCUUCUCAAGAAAGUAUUUCUUUCCCACUCUUAAUUUGUUACUAAUGUGUUCACAUAAGAUUUUUAUAAUGGGUUGAGAACGUAGAUGCAUUAAUUCCAUGUCCAAUUAUGAUUCAGUUUGUGUUAGUAUAAAAAAGAAGUCCAAAGAGAAGCAAAUGGUGAAGUUAAGGUGUUUCAGCCUUUUAAUGAAUUUAUAAACCACUCUCACCUGCUACCACUUGAAAUUCAUAAGCAAGAGCACUUCAUUGAUACACAAAGAGGGUGCAGAUGGGAAUAGGGGGGGAAGGUUUGACAGACUGCAGGGAUUUCAUUUUCUAAACAAAUGUGUUUCUACAGUGUGUACAUUUUGGGCAGAGAAGUUUAGGGUUUAUUUUUCCUUCACCACCAAGUAUUUGUAGCCUUCUCUUAGGAGAAUGAGCUUAUAGAAACAUGAUGUCUGUACAUGUAUUGGUGUACAUAGGUUAGUAUAAUAAAUCUUCUCCCCAUUGCUUUUUGUCAUGUUUAACAUAAAUGGCAUACAAAUGUAAAGAUAACAAAGUUCUUUCUGAGGAGAAAGACGCUAUAAGCUGGACUAACUCCUUAGCUGAUACAGCCAUCUUUGUUGAUGCCUCCGCUCUGGGGAAACUUUUGUAGGGGUUUCCAGUUGUCCGUAUGCCAAUCAAGUACUUCUCAUAAAUUAGGUUUACUUACUGAAGAGUGAGGAACGAUUUGCUUUGCUUUCUUCCUCGCUGUUUCUAAGGCACUGUCUUGUGACUGGUCAGCAGAGAGCUGCUCAGGAGCCACAGCUUUUCUCAGGACCUGUGUUGCCAUCUGUGAGGUGGUAGAGUACAGUGCCUGCUAGACAUAAGCGUGAUGGACACAUAAGAGGUUUCCCUGGAUACAUCUGAAUGGCUAAAUGCACUCUGAAAAGAAAAGUCAGAGGAGGGGUGUCUGCUUCAGGAUGCCUCAUAACCUGCUGGCUUGAGGACACAGGAUUGGGGGACCUCAUCCAUCCAGCUUUCUUAACUUGUUCCUGAAAUGAAGGACUCCGAAAAGUUAACUGAAAUAAAGACCUGCAAUAUCUCCACUGCUGCUGCAUGGAGAAGAUUCCAUCUCCUCUGUCAGAGAGCUCCUGAACAUGACGCAGCACCAUCAGCCAGGCAUGUGGAGGCGUGACAGGGACAAGGGAACAUCAACCGUGUGUUCUGCUGCUAUUAUCUUUAAAUGGUAAAAGUCAAAUGGGGAAAAUAAGCAAGUUGGAAAUCUUUUCUAAAAAGAAAUUUUUCUCUAUAGCAGUUAUUAUUUUAAAAGAAACAUCUCAAAAAGACUCCUAAUGAACGAGAAAAAUCCUGUUUUCUUCACCCCUUAAAUCCUGUACAACAUUACCUCCGUUUCCCUUAGCUUUUCCUCUCAGAAGUGAUAAAUGCGGAAUGCUCCAAGCAUCGUUUAGGUUUCCCUCCAAAACUGCCUAUGGUCUGUGUUCUGUCUGCCCCACAUAAACCUCUGUCCUGAGUUCUGCUUUCUGCACCUGAGAAGGAAGGACGAAUAAUCCUCAGGGAGGGAAGACCUAUGUAUAUUUUGUGACCACCAAUAAAAUCUUUGUUAGGCGAGUAUUUUUUUCCUGCAUGUUAGCGUAGCAAUAUAAUAUCCCUAUAAAUAAUUAUUUGGUGGAGCUUUGAAGCAGCUAAAUUCUGUAACUACUUUAUGGACUCAUCACUUAUAUGCUGCAACAUUUACUUGCCACACAAAUCUAAGCUUUCUUCCACAAAUAAAAUUAUUCAGUCAUAACGAAUAAAGGAAAUAAAAUUUAUGUCCUCUUAAUACAUCAGUGUUGCAUUAGUCACUAAGUCUCCAGAUAAGUCAGAAGUCUGCAGUCCUGAUAUUCAGCACAGUGGAAAACCAACAGAAGGGCCCCGUAGCUAUGCUUACAAUCUGUCCUCGCAAAACAUCUGACAGCUGCAACACUAACAAAAUUAACAGUGGAUGAAUUAGUACCAGACGCUAAACAGUUGCUAUAGAAAGACUCAUCCAUUUCUUUUCUUCUUCUCCCCUUCUUCAACCUGGCUACCCCACCACUUGAUAAAAUUAACAAUCGGUAUCAUUUUUUUUCUUUUGUUAUUUAACAAAAAAAGCACCAAAAAUACCCUUUCAUACACAAGACGACAAACUUCAUGCCGUGAUCUCCCUAGACUCUUAAAGACGCAGCUCGCAGCUGAAAGGACUGUGUCCCAGUUCUCUUACUGCUUUUGAGCAGCAAACGUGCAUCCACUUGCAGAGUUUUUCACUUGCAGGUUUUGGGAUCCCACCUGGUGCCAUGACAGAGCUGCAGCUGAACAAGGCAACGCCUGCUCCCUUUCUUUACGGGCUCUGUGCCCAUACCUAGCCGUGUUUCUACAUGCCUUCGCCCACUCCUUUUUUUGCUCUUCCUUCCUCCCCUGCCUUCUUAGGUCUUCUUUCACUGAGCUCUUUCCGAUUUGUGAGUAAGGAUGCCCAGUUCAAAUGUGAGCAUUCAAACUCAUGCUGCAACAUCUGAAGCAGGGGGAGUCCUGUAGUCCUACAAGGGCAUCAGAAAAAGCAACUCUGGACAUCAAAUUCACAAGUGUUAUUCCAGCACUGAACUGGAAAUGAGGGCAAGUGUCAGGUGUUACAUUAUACAGCUACCUUACUACAUCUUGCAUCAACUGAUCCAACAGUGUGUGUGCCCCUGUUUUGCAAGCUACAAGCAACUACUCAAAACAAUGUUAAUUAGACUGGGGCUGGGAAGACAAUUCCUGGGUCACUGAGUCCAACUCUUGAUAUCAGACAAGUACAUCCUGUACUAUCUGUACAAUCCGCUUCAUAAAUUCCUUACUGAAGAAAGGUAUGGUCAUAUACUGUAGACUGGGACUGAGACAGCAAGAUCUGUGAUGAGGAAGGAAUAGAUU